CUACGGGAGGCAGCAGUGAGGAAUAUUGCACAAUGGGGGGAACCCUGAUGCAGCAACGCCGCGUGGAGGAUGACGCAUUUCGGUGUGUAAACUCCUUUUAUAUGUCAAGAAAAUGACGGUAGCAUAUGAAUAAGCGCCGGCUAACUCCGUGCCAGCAGCCGCGGUAAUACGGAGGGUGCAAGCGUUACUCGGAAUCACUGGGCGUAAAGGACGCGUAGGCGGGCUUGUAAGUCAGGUGUGAAAUCCUACAGCUUAACUGUAGAACUGCACUUGAAACUACGAGCCUAGAGUAUGGGAGGGGCAGAUGGAAUUAGUGGUGUAGGGGUAAAAUCCGUAGAUAUCACUAGGAAUACCUAAAGCGAAGGCGAUCUGCUGGAACAUAACUGACGCUAAGGCGUGAAAGCGUGGGGAGCAAACAGGAUUAGAUACCCGGGUAGUC
rnacentral:rRNA from 1 species